GACGAACUGUCCUAACGUUGUUCGGAAUCACUGGGCUUAAAGGGCGCGUAGGCGGUCUGACAAGUCAGGGGUGAAAUCCUGCAGCUUAACUGUAGAAGUGCCUUUGAUACUGUCAGUCUUGAGGGAAAUAGGGGUGUGCGGAACUUCCAGUGGAGCGGUGAAAUGCGUUGAUAUUGGAAGGAACGCCGGGGGCGAAAGCGGCGCACUGGAUUUCUUCUGACGCUGAGGCGCGAAAGCUAGGGGAGCAAACGGG
rnacentral:rRNA from 1 species